UACGAAGGGGGCUAGCGUUGCUCGGAAUGACUGGGCGUAAAGGGCGCGUAGGCGGCGGCCACAGUCAGAUGUGAAAUUCCUGGGCUUAACCCGGGGGCUGCAUUUGAUACGUGGUUGCUUGAGUGGGGAAGAGGGUCGUGGAAUUCCCAGUGUAGAGGUGAAAUUCGUAGAUAUUGGGAAGAACACCGGUGGCGAAGGCGGCGACCUGGUCCUUGACUGACGCUGAGGCGCGAAAGCGUGGGGAGCAAACAGG
rnacentral:rRNA from 1 species